rnacentral:rRNA from 1 species
AAUUUUGGACAAUGGGGGAAACCCUGACCCAGCCAUCCCGCGUGUAUGAUGAAGGCCUUCGGGUUGUAAAGUACUUUUGGCAGAGAAGAAAAGGUAUCUCUUAAUACGAGAUACUGCUGACGGUAUCUGCAGAAGAAGCACGGGCUAUCUACGUCCCAUCAGCGGCGGUAAUACGUAGGGUGCAAGCGUGUAUCGGAAUUAUGGGGCGUAACGCGUGUGUAGGCGGUUCGGAAAGAAAAAUGUGAAAUCACAGGGCUCAACCUUGGAACUGCAUUUUUAACUGCCGAGCUAGAGUAUGUCAGAGGGGGGUAGAAUUCCACGUGUAGCAGUGAAAUGCGUAGAUAUGUGGAGGAAUACCGAUGGCGAAGGCAGCCCCCUGGGAUAAUACUGACGCUCAGACACGAAAGCGUGGGGAGCAAACA